rnacentral:lncRNA from 1 species
CAGGCUCUCAUCUUGAGACAGAGGCUUGAUAUUACAUAGAGACUUCUGGAAUGCCUAUUUUUGUCUUUAAAAGUUUGAGUUUUUGCUCUUAAUAGUAUGUGUUGAGAGAUCCUGUUUGUAGGUAAGACAAAAGAUUUUCAUCUCUCUCAAACAGGAGAAUAAAACAAACUGACGUCUACAGGAACGCAGUACAGGCAGAGCUGUCAAAUAAAAGGGCAACAGCAUUACCAGCUCAUGCAGUAGUGGAUGGACAUACCUCUAUACUGCUAAACUGAUGUGCAAGGGCAGGCUUUGACACAGGACCCGGAUUUGGUCUGUCUGCCUGGGUGUUGGCCCACUCCACAGAUCAGUUUUGGUCUGCUUCCACUGGUCAUCUCCAGCUGAAAUUUGCCGUAAAGGAAACUAGCCCUAAGGAGUGUAGGACACUCUUUCUAAGCUACAACUCAUAAUUAUGGCUCCUUCCUUCACCAUGCAGCUGUCCAAGUAACAUGUUUUUAUGAGGCUGAGACCAGUACAUCAGCUGCAGUCUACUUCAUCAUGAAGCAGAAUGUGGUUCACAGGAAAUACUAUCGGACAGAAGAUAAAAUUCAAGAAAAUACGAUAUUUUGGUCAUGCCUACAAUUGAAAUCUAAUGAAAAUGUUCACUUAUUUAGAAUAAAAACUCAUUAAAUAACAUUUUGUAGUUUAACGAAAUAAUUUUUAUUUUUUUAAUAUAGUUAAUACUAUGAAGUCUUCCUAAAAUUGUCUGAAGUUGAAACACCCUUUUAAAAUGGAGAGAAAGUAAUAAAGAAAAUAUAUGCAUCUACUUGCUUGACUGUGUUAGAGGAGUGCCUAGUGACCCUAAAAACACUAAAACUUGUCCAAAAUAUAUUAUUUGUUAUAUUAUUAAAUUGAUGUGCAAUGACCCUGUGAGCCAACACCUGGGGUUUUGGGUGCU